UGUUUGUUUUGUUUGUUUUUUUUUUCAAACCAAGACAGGUAUGCAAAUAAGUAAAUGCCCUUGGGAAGAAGAAUUAGAGAUGGAGAAAGAGGCAGUAAAGGAAAGGUGAAAUCUGACUGUGCAUCACCCCAGCUCUGCUGAUGCACGUUCUUCCAAAGAGCCCAUCCUUGCCUUCCCCUUGACCUCUUUCCCCUUUCUAGUUACUGGUUACUGCGCUGGGGGAUUAAUCUGCAGGAGAGCAUUACCAAGCUAAGGCAGGCUGUGAGCCCUCUCUGCAGGGUCAAAUACUGCUGGAGAGCGAGAAAGCAGGGUGGCAGGUGGCUCCAGAAUGUUCUUAGACAAGAUCAUUGCUAAUGUUAUUCCCCAAACAACUAACAAGAGUAUGUAUUCAUGGUGUUGGUCCAUCUUCCUGACUUGGCGUGCACGGCGAAGUGCAGGCCUGCAGAGAUAAACUGAUUUUAUCCAUCUCCUUCCUGGAGCAUAUCAGGCUUGUGAGGCCCUUUGGACUUGAUUUGAAAGGCACAAUUGCUGACCUGGUCACAGAGGUACUGUCACCAGCCCAGCUCCUGGCAAAGCAGAACGUCUCCUGAUAGAGAAGCUGAUGAGUCUCGAAUGCCUUUUGCUAAAGAGGGGAUUUUUGGUGGAGUUAAACAUUAACAUUCUUCACAGCUCCCAUCUGUUCAAGGUUCAGGAGGGAAGCCGUGCUGAGUCAGCCUGGCAGCUGUAUUUCCUGCUCCAGCUCUCUCCUGCCGCAUGAUUCACUCCCUCCUCCUCUGCCAGGAAGUCUUAGUCCUGGCUGAAGCAGUAAGAAGGCAGAAGGACACUCCAGCUAUCUCGCACCGGGUUAUUGGAGUGUGUGCAUCGAUUCAUUCUGCUCUGCAACAUCACGGACAGAAGGCACAAUUGUUUCUGCUAUGAUUCCAAAAUCAACUGUCGAGAGAGGGCCUUUGGGAGAAGAGUGGUGAGCCAGACAGCAGGCUCUCUGACAGCUCUGGACAGAGUUCAAGGAAAAUUGUUGGCCUUGCCAUCCUCCUUUGUGAGUCUUGGACAUGCUGGUCAGUGAAAUACCUGUGGAAUCUGCCAGCUGGACCAUCAAUUUAUAGUACAGCUUGUGCUACCCUUCUAAUCUCUUCAAUGGACCGUGAUUACUUCACUGGCUCUAACCUAAACACCCCCGAUUUGCUAGACCGUAAUUGCAGGUAAUAGUGUUAAGUGGGGUCGGGGCUGCCUUGCAGGGUGCGUGGCGCAGCAGCCCAUAGCAGCGCUGUACUGAUGAGGAUCUCGAGUCUUGAGUGCUGAAAACCGUACCCUUCACCCAAACCAAGUCCACUGCAGAAUGUAUUAAUUUCUUAACAGAAUAUUUCUUGAUCACCUAAAAUCCCCAUACAAUCCCUGCUCCCUUAAAUUUGCUGUAAUAAGUUUUGUGGAGUCUUUCCCUGCUGCUCUAAAGCAAAAUGGUUUCAAAGUGUUUUUUUCCUGGGAGGAAUCCCCUCUGUGCCGUUGCCCUGUGCUGCUGCUCCACUGGGUGUGUGCUACACCGAUGAGCUGAGGCACAUGCAGGUGUGAUAUCUUGUGUUCGGUGCUUUCAGUAGGUGAGAUUUGGCCCUUUCUCUGUCAAUCGAAUGCUCUAAACAUGAAUAUGAUGCUGCUGCAAUGUGAAUAUUAAAUGUGCAGUGCACGGAAUAAAAGAUGCAAGCU